rnacentral:rRNA from 1 species
GACGAACGCUGGCGGCGUGCUUAACACAUGCAAGUCGAACGGAAAGGCCCUGCUUUUGUGGGGUGCUCGAGUGGCGAGCGGGUGAGUAACACGUGAGUAACCUGCCCUUGACUUUGGGAUAACUUCAGGAAACUGGGGCUAAUACCGGAUAGGAGCUCCUGCUGCAUGGUGGGGGUUGGAAAGUUUCGGCGGUUGGGGAUGGACUCGCGGCUUAUCAGCUUGUUGGUGGGGUAGUGGCUUACCAAGGCUUUGACGGGUAGCCGACCUGAGAGGGUGACCGGCCACAUUGGGACUGAGAUACGGCCCAGACUCCUACGGGAGGCAGCAGUGGGGAAUAUUGCACAAUGGGCGGAAGCCUGAUGCAGCAACGCCGCGUGCGGGAUGACGGCCUUCGGGUUGUAAACCGCUUUCGCCUGUGACGAAGCGUGAGUGACGGUAAUGGGUAAAGAAGCACCGGCUAACUACGUG